GUGAAAUUGUUGAAAGGGAAGCGCUUGCAACCAGACUUGUACGCUGCUGAUCAUCCGGGGUUCUCCCCGGUGCACUCGGUAGUGUUCAGGCCAGCAUCGUUUUUGGCGGGCGGAUAAAGGCCUUGGGAAUGUAGCUUCUUUCGGGGAGUGUUAUAGCCCUCGGUGCAAUGCGCCCUGCCGGGAACGAGGACCGCGCUUCGGCUAGGAUGCUGGCGUAAUGGUUGUAAGCGACCCGUCUUGAAACACGGACCAAGGAGUCUAACAUCUAUGCGAGUGUUUGGGUGUCAAACCCAUACGCGUAAUGAAAGUGAACGGAGGUGAGAACCCUUAAGGGUGCAUCAUCGACCGAUCCUGAUGUCUUCGGAUGGAUUUGAGUAAGAGCAUAGCUGUUGGGACCCGAAAGAUGGUGAACUAUGCCUGAAUAGGGUGAAGCCAGAGGAAACUCUGGUGGAGGCUCGCAGCGGUUCUGACGUGCAAAUCGAUCGUCAAAUUUGGGUAUAGGGGCGAAAGACUAAUCGAACCAUUCAGGAACGGUACUAGGUGGUUAAGAGGCCGCUGAGAAGCGUGCUUAGUCCUAUUCACGGGGCGACAUUGUCAAAUUGUUCGGGGACGUCCUGCUAUAACUUACGCUACCGCAACCUACUCAAAAGGGUGGCGGCGCACC
rnacentral:rRNA from 1 species